GGGUGAGUAAAAGGUUUCCAACCUGCCGUCUACUCUUGGACAGCCUUCUGAAAGGAAAAUUAAUACAAAAUGGCAUCAUGAGUCCGCAUGUUCACAUGAUUAAAGGUAUUCCGGUAAACAAUGGGGAUGCGUUCCAUUAAAUAGUAGGCGGGGUAACGGCCCACCUAGUCUUCAAUGGAUAGGGGUUCUGAGAGGAAGGUCCCCCACAUUGAAACUGAAACACGGCCCAAACUCCUACGGGAGGCAGCAUUGAGGAAUAUUGGUCAAUGGGCGAGAGCCUGAACCACCCAAGUAGCGUGAAGGAUGACUGCCCUAUGGGUUGUAAACUUCUUUUAUAAAGGAA
rnacentral:rRNA from 1 species